CCCACCCCCUCGACACUGCUGCAGUGGGGAUGAAGUUUCCAGCACGUACCUUUGGAGGACUUAUUCAACCAUGACCCUUGCUUCUCAUUCAUGGAGGAAGAGGAGUGAAGAAUCCAAGUGGCAGACUUGGGAGCUCUAGCCCAUCCUUUUCCCGUCCUCUUAUUUUUGGGGGUCGGCCUGCCUGCUUAGCACUGUGAGCCUCUCUUAGCCUUGGUGUAGGCUUAGUGAAAAAGCUCUGCUUCUGAAAUCACAUCACUAUGGGCACCACUGAGGGUGGUAUUUGAGUCACCAACACAACACUCCUGUAUCCAUCUGCAUUUGUCGAUGAGGCAUUCAUGGUGACUCCAACGAACUCAUCUAGAGUAAGCGA
rnacentral:lncRNA from 1 species